rnacentral:rRNA from 1 species
UACAGAGGUGGCUAGCGUUGUUCGGAAUUACUGGGCGUAAAGGGCGCGUAGGCGGCUUGGUCAGUCCCGUGUGAAAUCCCUCGGCUCAACUGAGGAACUGCACGGGAAACUGCCUGGCUUGAGUUCGGGAGAGGGAUGCGGAAUUCCAGGUGUAGCGGUGAAAUGCGUAGAUAUCUGGAGGAACACCGGUGGCGAAGGCGGCAUCCUGGACCGAUACUGACGCUGAGGAGCGAAAGCCAGGGGAGCAAAACGGGG